rnacentral:rRNA from 1 species
AGUUUGAUCAUGGCUCAGAACGAACGCUGGCGGCAUGCCUAACACAUGCAAGUCGAACGAACCCUUCGGGGUUAGUGGCGCACGGGUGCGUAACGCGUGGGAACCUGCCUUUUGGUUCGGAAUAACAGUGAGAAAUUACUGCUAAUACCGGAUAAUGUCUUCGGACCAAAGAUUUAUCGCCAUUAGAUGGGCCCGCGUAAGAUUAGCUAGUUGGUGGGGUAAAGGCCUACCAAGGCGACGAUCUUUAGCUGGUCUGAGAGGAUGAUCAGCCACACUGGGACUGAGACACGGCCCAGACUCCUACGGGAGGCAGCAGUGGGGAAUAUUGGACAAUGGGCGAAAGCCUGAUCCAGCAAUGCCGCGUGAGUGAUGAAGGCCUUAGGGUUGUAAAGCUCUUUUACCCGAGAUGAUAAUGACAGUAUCGGGAGAAUAAGCUCCGGCUAACUCCGUG